GGAGGCGCUCUGAGGUGGGGCCUGGUCUCCCGGGAGGGAUGCUACUGGGAGAGGGAUGGAGAUGAGGGAGACGGCGGGGCAGAAGGACCAGAGUCCAGACCCCGUCAGGGUGGGAAUGGACGCUGGUGGGCCGUGGAGAUAGGACAGCCCACGCUUGCCUGAACCUCACGGGGACGUGAAUUAAAAGCUUCCCCUUGCUGUUCUCCCACUUGCCCGCAGGCUGGCUGGUCUUGGGGAUUGGUCUGUCACCUGGAACAGCGUGGCUGGAGCUGGGCCUCCCUCCCGGAGCCUUCCCCUCACCAGGCGCUAACGUGGAGUGUGUGUUCCAUAAUUGGCAGAUGUCAUUAUGAUUAGACAAUUUCUCGGAGGGGGAGGGAAGGGGAAGACUGGGCCCUCACGGCAGAAGAGCCCCAGGGAAUCAACGAAGGAUGGACCAGAGGAGAAACCCUCACCCAUCUGGACAGGGCCCAGUCCACAUCUGCUAAGGGAAUCGACUGAGACGGCUGCUGGGCACAACCAGGGCCUGCGUCCACGGAGGCCCAGUGGAGCCCCCCAGGAGAAUGCAGCCCCCGCCCUCAGCCUGAGCCCUCCUCACUUGUCAUUCCACCUCCCGGUCCACUCCACUUCUCCCCAGGGAUUUCGGAUGCGGAUCAGCUUCUGCAGGCUUCCACUGCUUUCAACCUGUGGGAGGAUUACAUGAGGAGAAGAGGGAGAUGGAGCUCAGGGAAGCUUCACCGCCUGUCGAAUGAACACUGGUGAUAACGAGCAAACACAGAGCAUGAAUCCUGGAUGGGGGACGGGGGUGCGAUAAAGGAUACUUU